rnacentral:rRNA from 1 species
UACUCGAGUGGCGAACGGGUGAGUAACACGUGGGUGAUCUGCCUUGCACUUCGGGAUAAGCCUGGGAAACUGGGUCUAAUACUGGAUAGGACCAUCGUUUAGUGUCGGUGGUGGAAAGUUUUUUCGGUGGAGGAUGAGCUCGCGGCCUAUCAGCUUGUUGGUGGGGUAAUGGCCUACCAAGGCGUCGACGGGUAGCCGGCCUGAGAGGGUGUACGGCCACAUUGGGACUGAGAUACGGCCCAG